rnacentral:snRNA from 1 species
AUACCUUUCUCGGCCUUUUAGCUAAGAUCAUGUAUACUAUCUGUUUUUAUCAGUUUAAUUUAUAAUAUGUGAUUAAUCGAUUCACACAAUAUUAACUCUAUUUCUCAAGGGAGAAGGUCCAUCACGGCAGCUUGACUCACACGAUAUUAACUCUAUUUUAGAGGGGGAAGGCCUACCAUGGUGGCUUGUUAUUGGGGCCUUCAUGGAACAAUU